GCCUACGGGAGGCAGCAGUGGGGAAUAUUGGACAAUGGGCGCAAGCCUGAUCCCAGCCAUGCCGCGUGAGUGAUGAAGGCCCUAGGGUUGUAAAGCUCUUUCACCGGAGAAGAUAAUGACGGUAUCCGGAGAAGAAGCCCCGGCUAACUUCGUGCCAGCAGCCGCGGUAAU
rnacentral:rRNA from 1 species